rnacentral:rRNA from 1 species
AUGCAAGUCGAACGGGAACCUUUGGAUUCGUCUGAAGGGGAGAGUGGCGAACGGGUGAGUAACACGUGGGUGACCUGCCUCGAAGACGGGGAUAACCACUGGAAACGGUGGCUAAUACCCGAUGGUCUCGAUAAUUCGGUUUAUCGAGUAAAGGCUCCGGCGCUUUGAGAGGGACCUGCGGCCCAUCAGCUAGUUGGUAGGGUAAAGGCCUACCAAGGCGAAGACGGGUAGGGGACGUGAGAGCGUGACCCCCCACACUGGGACUGAGACACAGCCCAGACUCCUACGGGAGGCAGCAGUGAGGAAUAUUGCGCAAUGAGCGAAAGCUAGACGCAGCAACGCCGCGUGGGUGAAGAAGGCCUUCGGGUCGUAAAACCCUUUUCUGAGGGAAGAGCAAGGACGGUACCUCAGGAAUAAGUCUCGGCUAACUAUGUGCCAGCAGCCGCGGUAAGACAUAGGAGGCGAGCGUUAUCCGGAUUUAUUGGGCGUAAAGUGCGUUGAGGCGGUUUUGUAAGUUGGACGUGAAAGCUCCCGGCUUAACUGGGAGAGGUCGUUCAAUACUGCGAGACUAGAGGGCAGUAGAGGGGGGUGGAAUUCCCGGUGUAGUGGUGAAAUGUGUAGAUAUCAGGAGGAAUACCGACGGCGAAGGCAGCUUACUGGACGAUUACUGACCCUCAUGGACGAAAGCUGGGGGAGCGAACAGGAUUAGAUACCCUGGUAGUCCCAGCCGUAAACGUUGUACACUAGGUGUAGGUGGAUUGGUCCCAUCUGCGCCCCAGCUAACGCGUUAAGUGUACCGCCUGGGGAGUACGGCCGCAAGGCUAAAACUCAAAGGAAUUGACGGGGGCCCGCACAAGCGGUGGAGCAUGUGGCUUAAUUCGAGGCAACGCGAAGAACCUUACCUGGAUUUGACAUAUACAGGACCGCCAUGGAAACAUGGUUUCUCUUCGGAGUCUGUAUACAGAUGCUGCAUGGCUGUCGUCAGCUCGUGCCGUGAGGUGUUCGGUUAAGUCCGGCAACGAGCGCAACCCAUGCUGUUAGUUACCAGCGAGUAAUGUCGGGGACUCUAACAGGACUGCCCGUGCUAAGCGGGAGGAAGGCGUGGACGACGUCAAGUCCGUAUGGCUCUUACAUCCAGGGCUGCACACGUGCUACAAUGGCCGGCACAGAGGGAUGCCACCUCGCGAGAGGGAGCCAAUCCCGAAAACCGGCCCCAGUUCGGAUUGGAGUCUGCAACUCGACUCCAUGAAGUUGGAAUCGCUAGUAAAGGCGUAUCAGCAACGGCGCCUUGAAUACGUUCCCGGGCCUUGUACACACCGCCCGUCACAUCAUGGAAGCUGGCUGUACCCGAAGUCACUGACUGAACCCGCAAGGGACGGAG